CCUACGGGAGGCAGCAGUAGGGAAUUUUCGUCAAUGGGCGCAAGCCUGAACGAGCAAUGCCGCGUGAACGAGGAAGGUCUUCGGAUCGUAAAGUUCUGUUGAAGGGGAAAAAGAGCGGAGAGAGGAAAUGAACUCCGAUUGAUAUUACCCUUCGAGGAAGUCACGGCUAACUACGUGCCAGCAGCCGCGGUAAUACGUAGGUGGCGAGCGUUAUCCGGAAUGAUUGGGCGUAAAGGGUGCGUAGGCGGCCUGCUAAGUCUGGAGUGAAAGGUACCGGCUCAACCGGUACAGGCUCUGGAAACUGGCGGGCUAGAGAGCAGGAGAGGGCAGUGGAACUCCAUGGGUAGCGGGAAAAUGCGUAGAUAUAUGGAAGAACACCAGUGGCGAAGGCGGCCGCCUGGCCUGUUGACUGACGCUGAGGCACGAAAGCGUGGGGAGCAAAUAGGAUUAGAUACCCCAGUAGUC
rnacentral:rRNA from 1 species